GAUGAACGCUGGCGGCGUGCCUAAUACAUGCGAGUCGAGCGAACAGAUGAGGAGCUUGCUCCUCUGACGUUAGCGGCGGACGGGUGAGUAACACGUGGAUAACCUACCUAUAAGACUGGGAUAACUUCGGGAAACCGGAGCUAAUACCGGAUAAUAUAUUGAACCGCAUGGUUCAAUAGUGAAAGACGGUUUUGCUGUCACUUAUAGAUGGAUCCGCGCCGCAUUAGCUAGUUGGUAAGGUAACGGCUUACCAAGGCAACGAUGCGUAGCCGACCUGAGAGGGUGAUCGGCCACACUGGAGCUGAGACACGGUCCAGACUCCUACGGGAGGCAGCAGUAGGGAAUCUUCCGCAAUGGGCGAAAGCCUGACGGAGCAACGCCGCGUGAGUGAUGAAGGUCUUCGGAUCGUAAAACUCUGUUAUUAGGGAAGAACAAAUGUGUAAGUAACUAUGCACGUCUUGACGGUACCUAAUCAGAAAGCCACGGCUAACUACGUG
rnacentral:rRNA from 1 species